GACGGAGGAUGCAAGUGUUAUCCGGAAUCACUGGGCGUAAAGCGUCUGUAGGUGGUUUAACAAGUCUACUGUUAAAGCUUGAAGCUUAACUUCAAAAAUGCCGUAGAAACUUUUAAACUUGAGUAUGGUAGGGGUAGAGGGAAUUUCCAGUGGAGCGGUGAAAUGCGUAGGUCUUGGAAAGACCACCAAUGGCGAAGGCACUCUACUGGGCCAUUACUGACACUAAGAGACGAAAGCUAGGGGAGCAAAUGGG
rnacentral:rRNA from 1 species